rnacentral:rRNA from 1 species
UGACCUAUCAGCUUUCGACGGUAGUGUAUUGGACUACCGUGGCAGUGACGGGUAACGGGGAAUUAGGGUUCGAUUCCGGAGAGGGAGCCUGAGAAACGGCUACCACAUCUAAGGAAGGCAGCAGGCGCGCAAAUUACCCAAUCCUGACUCAGGGAGGUAGUGACAAGAAAUAACAACACUGGAAAUUUUAUUUCUAGUGAUUGGAAUGAUGGGAAUCUAAACCCCUUUCAGAGUAACAAUUGGAGGGCAAGUCUGGUGCCAGCAGCCGCGGUAAUUCCAGCUCCAAUAGCGUAUAUUAAAGUUGUUGCAGUUAAAAAGCUCGUAGUUGGAUAUCUGCUGGAAGCAAUCAGUCCGCCCUAUU